AAAAAUUGGAAAAUCUGACUCAAAGAUGAAGCUGGUGAUCCUAUUAUCCUUCUUGCUCGUUCUCCCAAUGUUUUCUUCAGGAAUUGAGACUUCGCAUCUUGACAACGUCCACCACAAGAUUAAAGAGAAGGUGGUGAUGAAUGCAAGAAGAAUUGAU